GGCACUGGUGCUCAGCUGCAGCCUGAGGGAUCCUCAACUGCCUGAUCCGUGACAUUGCUGCUGAGCACCGAGGUUCCCCAUGGAAAACAGCAGCAUUCCCUGGGACUUACAGUCAUGGCUUCAAACAAGUGGAAGACAAUGUAGACAGGCAUGACCCACGCCACCAAGCCAACGAUUUCCCUGGGGAUGGAGGAAAGCCAAGGAUCACUUUUGGGAACUGACCUCCACACACCAAGGCCAGGAGCUGGGGACACUCACUUGUCGUUGGUGAAGAUGUAUCCCAGCACAUUCCUUGAGGCAGCUAAAAUGGACACCACAACUAGAGUGGACACCCCUGAAAACAGAGCACAGAGCUGAGCCCAGCCUGGCUGGAGAGCAGGGGGGAAAGAGGCAGGCAGAGGACUGCAAACACUCCCUGCUCCAUGGGAAGGAGGCCAGGAGGAGGCUUUCCAGGCUGUUGUGGACUGACCUGUGCAGAUCAGGCUGGUGUAGGAGGAUCUCUUGGCCAUCUCCACGUUGCCGGCGCCCAGCGCGUUGCCCACCUGCACACUGGCAGCUGUGCCCAGCCCCAGGGGGAACUGCAAGCACAGGGCUCACGUGUCUGACAAUGGGGCUGUCACAGUGACAGGGGGAUACCCACCCAGCAGAGAGCAGGAUGGAGUUCAGGAUUUGAUUUAAAGCAUCUCUGCAAGGAGGGACAGGCAGGAGCAGGGAGAGAUUCAAGUGCAGAGGGGAAGGUGAGGGUUUUCUGGAGCAGAUUUUUGCUGUGUGCCUGUCUCAGGACAGCCCCCACAGAGCCCUGGUGUGCAGUGAUAACCCAGCCCUUACCAUGAAAGCCACAACAGACACCUCAUAGAUGAUGGACUGGACAGAGAGCUCGACAACACUCAGCAGCCCUGUGGGACAGGAGGGGUCAGUGCUGGCUGUGGGAGCUGCUCUGGGUCAGGCCUGGCCGUGUCCUGGCAGCUCCCCUCUCCACUGACCUAUCAAGAAGCUCCCAAUCUCGUAGGUCCACCACUCGAUGCACAUCAUGAGCAUGCUGGGGAUGGCCAGGGAGGUGAAGCUGUCCCAUUCCAGCAGGCACUCGCUGGACCAGCCUGGUGAGAGGAGGAACAACACCUGAUGGAUGACCAGACUGGCCAUGUUACAUCCUGCACAGCACCCGGGGCAGCUGGAGGGGCCUGUCCUCAGAGCCAGCACUCCACAGGAUCUCCAGCAGCUCAGUGUCCACCAAUAACCUCUGUGCUGCUGCCCCAUGGGCCACAGAGCAGCACAACCCUCAGCCCAUCCCUCCUGGAGCUGUGUCCAGGGACAACCUCCUGCUUACGUCUGUGCUCAUCCGGCUUUGGGGCUGAACCUUCCAAAGCCUCAGCAGAAAGUUUCAUUUCUGCAGAAUUAAUGUUUAGUGCUGGUCACACAGCCCUGCCAGUGCUGGCGCGUGACGAGUGCCACUGAAGCAGCACUGUGGUACCCGGGGCACCGCGGGCUGGGGUUAAUAUUUCACCAUUGGGAUGAGCAGAAUUCCUCUUCUAUCAAGAACACCUGAUAGAAGUUUUAUGGACAUUUCUGGGUCAAGCAGGAAGCAGAGGGAGCAGGGGGAGAUGCCCUUACCUCCCCAGGUGUUCACGUGCAGCUUCCUGCAUAUGAUGUACAGGAACAAGAAGAUGGCUUGUGAAUACUGAGCGAUGGUGUUGGCCCAGGCAGAGCCCCUGCAGAGGAAGUGAGAAAGUUCAUUGGCAUCCUGCUUAUGCCUCCCUCAGGGUGGAAAAACACAUCCUGCUGUCCCCCUGGGAGCUCGGUGUUCCCUGGCCAUUGCCAGGUGCCCUGUUUUGCUCUCCAGGGGACACAGAUGCCACUCACGUCACGCCCAGGUGGAGCACGAAGAGGAGGACGUAGUUGGCAGCCGCGUUGAUGAUGUUGCCGAUGACCCCACUCAGAACCAGGGGCCACAUGAUCAUCUGCAAAGAGGAGAACAUGGGAGGGUCUUCCCAAAGGUUUUGGGAGGGAGGUGUGAGCGUCCCCCCAGCCCCACUUUCAAUGCCUUUCCCAGAAAAAAAGCCCCAAACUGGCAGUGAUGUCGCCUGCUUGGAAAAUGAGUGUGAGGGAGGUAAAUCCCUGAUGUGGGGAAGUAUGGAGGUGGAUGGAUACAGCUGGCUGUGGAAUGGGGUGAUCUACAGGGUCAGGGCCGUUUUGGGACACCUGGACACCUUGUAACUGAGAACAGUGAGCAUGGAAACCCUGGAUGCACUGUGGAAGGGAGCCCUGAGCCAGGGGGGGUGUGAGGACUUCAGGACCCACCUGGUUCUGCAGGUAUCUUGUCUCCAGGUUAUACACAAAAACCGCCUGCAAAGGAAAUUUUGGGUGAGAUGAGCCAGUGCUGAGCUGUAGGAUGGGGACAGCCUGUCCCACGUGCAGGUGGCACCCAGGGUGCCCACGGGCACUCACCGGGAGGGCAGGGAGAAAAGCAUCCACGUAGUGCUGGGUCAGCCUGGGGGCACAGAGAGGGGGUCAGGGGGGGACACGGCCAUGGCCACCCUCCACCCUGGGCAGGGAUGAGGGGACCGCCCAACCUGGAGACAUCGGGGUCCUGAUGCAUGAGCAGCAUCAACGGCUCCACGUUGAUGAGGAUGGCGCAGCAGGGGAAGCAGCAGAGGAGGAUGAUGAUGGUGGCACGCUGCAGGAUCACCCCCACGCGCAGCAGGUUCUUGCUGCCAUAGGUCUGCAGGGUGACAGGGCAGCGGUGAAAUCAGCUGGUGCUGGGGGGAAAGGGGGGCCCUGGAGAGCGUGGAGCAGCCCUGACCACCCUGAAACCCUCCUGGGAAGGAUUUGGAGCAUGGAUCUCCUCGUUAUGGGAUUGUUACCUGGGGAGAAGCUUCCCCAGCUCGCAGGAGCAGCCAGGGCUCUGUGUGGUGCCUGGGCAUCAUCAGCUGAAGCUGGAAACCCCCCGUGUCCCCAGGACAAGCCAGCAUGUCCUACCCACCUGUGAUAUCAAGGUGUCACACGCUGAAGUCAAACCGUAACCUACAGAGAUGGCGGUGACAUUUAUAACCUGGGAGUUAAAAAAGCAAGGAGUGAAGGGAGGGAGCUGGUGCCCAGGAAUGCUUACAGCGAUGGCCAGCGUGACAGAGGCCAGCUCAACCUUGCCCAGGUGGCCACAGAAUAUGGAGCUGACGAGGUGGAUCAGGAAGAUCAGCAGCUGGAUCAGGAUCUGAGCAGGGAGGAGAGCUGAAGGUUAGGCAUGGAGGCCACCGGCACCCGGAGACAGGGGUGGCAGGGAGGUGCCACACGUGUGUGUGUGAGGUAUUGCCCUACCAGGGCCCAGCAGCUGACAUGUCACAGUCACACAGGUGCAGGUGAGAGCUGGGGACAGCCCAGAGGGACUCAGUGCUGGGCUGUCUGCAUUGUGACAUAGGACAGUCCUUUGGUGGCCCUGUGGGGCUGAGCAACACAACCUCCCUCUUCCACAGUGCUCAACAACAAAUCUUGCUUUUGUACCAAGGGGAAGAGUGAUAACACCGUGUCUGGAGCCAGCCCCAAACCUCAGGGCCAGGACCAGAUCCACAAUCUUUCCUCUUUAACAGCACAGUCCUGCCAAGGACCAGGGUCAUGCUCACACCAUAUUAAACAGCCCAACAUU